AUUGAACGCUGGCGGCAGGCCUAACACAUGCAAGUCGAGCGGAUGAAGGGAGCUUGCUCCUGGAUUCAGCUACGGACGGGUGAGUAAUGCCUAGGAAUCUGCCUUGUAUUGGGGGAUAACGUCCGGAAACGGGCGCUAAUACCGCAUACGUCCUGAGGGAGAAAGUGGGGGAUCUUCGGACCUCACGCUAUCAGAUGAGCCUAGGUCGGAUUAGCUAGUUGGUGGGGUAAAGGCCUACCAAGGCGACGAUCCGUAACUGGUCUGAGAGGAUGAUCAGUCACACUGGAACUGAGACACGGUCCAGACUCCUACGGGAGGCAGCAGUGGGGAAUAUUGGACAAUGGGCGAAAGCCUGAUCCAGCCAUGCCGCGUGUGUGAAGAAGGUCUUCGGAUUGUAAAGCACUUUAAGUUGGGGGGAAGGGCAGUAAGUUAAUACCUUGCUGUUUUGACGUUACCAACAGAAUAAGCACCGGCUAACUUCGUG
rnacentral:rRNA from 1 species